UACAGAGGGGGCGAGCGUUGUUCGGAAUUACUGGGCGUAAAGGGCGCGUAGGCGGCUUGCUAAGUCGGACGUGAAAUCCCUCGGCUCAACCGGGGAACUGCGUCCGAUACUGGCGAGCCUGAAUUCGGGAGAGGGAUGUGGAAUUCCAGGUGUAGCGGUGAAAUGCGUAGAUAUCUGGAGGAACACCGGUGGCGAAGGCGGCAUCCUGGACCGAUAUUGACGCUGAUGCGCGAAAGCCAGGGGAGCAAACGGG
rnacentral:rRNA from 1 species